rnacentral:rRNA from 1 species
AUUGAACGCUGGCGGUAUGCUUAACAUAUGCAAGUCGAACGGCAGCACGGUAUGUAGCAAUACAUAUGGGUGGCAAGUGGCGGACGGGUGAGUAACGCGUAGGAAUCUGCCCUCAAGCGGGGGACAACCCGAGGAAACUCGGGCUAAUACCGCAUAAACUCGGAAGAGAAAAGCUGGGGUAACCUGGCACUUGAGGAGGAGCCUGCGUCUGAUUAGCUAGUUGGUAGGGUAAAGGCCUACCAAGGCGAUGAUCAGUAGCUGGUCUGAGAGGAUGACCAGCCAAACUGGAACUGAGACACGGUCCAGACUACUACGGGAGGCAGCAGUGGGGAAUAUUGGACAAUGGGGGAAACCCUGAUCCAGCAAUACCGCGUGUGUGAAGAAGGCCUUCGGGUUGUAAAGCACUUUAGUUGGGGAGGAAGGUUAGCAGUUUAAGAGAUGGCUAAUUUGACUGUACCCAAAGAAUAAGCACCGGCUAACUCUGUGCCAGCCGCCGCAGUAA